GCCGAUGAUAUUGUGAUUAUGGCCGAGACC
rnacentral:sRNA from 1 species